GGGCAAUUAGCUCAGUUGGUAGAGCAUCUCGCUUACAACGAGGAUGUCAGCGGUUCGAGUCCGUUAUUGCCUA
rnacentral:tRNA from 1 species